GCCAUGUAAAAAAUGAUGACAACUACUAGGUAUUUUUUUUUUUUUUUGUAAAUAUUUGUGGUUAUUGUUGGCACCAGUAACCUUCAGGGCAUUUUUUUUUUUUUUUUUUUAAUGAAAAUAUUUCCCAAAACGACAAACUAGAGAACAGAACGUCAAAAGUCAUGCUACAUAGAGAUAUACAGUUGAAUAUAAUGUGUAAUUUAAAACAAAUUUAAAACAUUUUAAAAAAAACGGGUUGGG